GAGAGGCUGUUGGACAGUGGAGGGAGGGAGUCCCAGGGCAGCUCCCAGAGGCCCUGAGACACUGUGGUUCUGAUUUCCUAGGACCCGCUGGCCCAGA
rnacentral:pre_miRNA from 9 species